rnacentral:rRNA from 1 species
AUACGAAGGAUGCAAGCGUUAUCCGGAUUUAUUGGGUUUAAAGGGUGCGCAGGUGGUUUAAUAAGUCAGUGGUGAAAGUCUGCCGCUUAACGGUAGGAUUGCCAUUGAUACUGUUGGACUUGAAUAUGGAUGAGGUAGGCGGAAUGUGUAGUGUAGCGGUGAAAUGCUUAGAUAUUACACAGAACACCGAUUGCGAAGGCAGCUUACUAAUCCAUGAUUGACGCUGAGGCACGAAAGCGUGGGGAUCAAACAGGAUUAGAUACCCUGGUAGUCCACGCUGUAAACGAUGAUCACUCGCUGUUUGCGAUAUACAGUAAGCGGCUAAGCGAAAGCGUUAAGUGAUCCACCUGGGGAGUACGAUCGCAAGGUUGAA